rnacentral:rRNA from 1 species
GACGAACGCUGGCGGCGUGCUUAACACAUGCAAGUCGAACGGUAAGGCCCUUCGGGGUACACGAGUGGCGAACGGGUGAGUAACACGUGGGUGAUCUGCCCUGCACUUCGGGAUAAGCCUGGGAAACUGGGUCUAAUACCGGAUAGGACCCUGGGAUGCAUGUCCUGGGGUGGAAAGCUUUUGCGGUGUGGGAUGGGCCCGCGGCCUAUCAGCUUGUUGGUGGGGUGAUGGCCUACCAAGGCGACGACGGGUAGCCGGCCUGGGAGGGUGACCGGCCACACUGGGACUGAGAUACGGCCCAGACUCCUACGGGAGGCGGCAGUGGGGAAUAUUGCACAAUGGGCGCAAGCCUGAUGCAGCGACGCCGCGUGAGGGAUGACGGCCUUCGGGUUGUAAACCUCUUUCAGUAGGGACGAAGCGCAAGUGACGGUACCUACAGAAGAAGGACCGGCCAACUACGUGCCAGCAGCCGCGGUAA